GGAGCUGUAGCUCAGUUGGUAGAGUGCUUGCCUGAAAUGCAAAGUCCUUGCUUCAGUAUCCAGCGCCA
rfam:Mus musculus chromosome 3 genomic contig, GRC reference assembly alternate locus group NOD/MrkTac.